AGUGAACGUUGGCGGCGUGGAUUAGGCAUGCGAGUCGAGCGAGAACCGUAGCAAUACGGGGACAGCGGCGAAAGGGGCAGUAAUAUGUAGGUACCUACCCUCGGGUCCGGGAUAGCUGCGGGAAACUGCAGGUAAUACCGGAUGACAUCUCCGGAUCAAAGGUGUGAUUCCGCCCGGGGAGGGGCCUGCAUCCUAUUAGCUAGUUGGCGGGGUAACGGCCCACCAAGGCGACGAUGGGUAGCGGGGGUGAGAGCACGACCCGCGUCAUUGGGAAUGAGACACUGCCCAGACACCUACGGGGGGCUGCAGUCGAGAAUCUUCGGCAAUGGGGGAAACCCUGACCGAGCGACGCCGCGUGCGGGAUGAAGGCCUUCGGGUUGUAAACCGCUGUCGUAGAGGAGGAAAUGCAGGGGGGUUCUCCCCUCUGUUUGACCUAUUCUAGGAGGAAGGACGGGCUAAGUUCGUGCCAGCAGCCGCGGUAA
rnacentral:rRNA from 1 species